UGGGGAAUUUUGGACAAUGGGCGAAAGCCUGAUCCAGCAAUGCCGCGUGUGUGAAGAAGGCCUUCGGGUUGUAAAGCACUUUUGUCCGGAAAGAAAUCCUUGGCUCUAAUACAGUCGGGGGAUGACGGUACCGGAAGAAUAAGCACCGGCUAACUACGUGCCAGCAGCCGCGGUAAUACGUAGGGUGCAAGCGUUAAUCGGAAUUACUGGGCGUAAAGCGUGCGCAGGCGGUUUGCUAAGACCGAUGUGAAAUCCCCGGGCUCAACCUGGGGAACUGCAUUGGUGACUGGCAGGCUAGAGUAUGGCAGAGGGGGGUAGAAUUCCACGUGUAGCAGUGAAAUGCGUAGAGAUGUGGAGGAAUACCGAUGGCGAAGGCAGCCCCCCUGGGGCCAAAUACUGACGCUCAUGCACGAAAGCGUGGGGAGCAAAACAGGAUUAGAUACCCUGGUAGUCCACGCCCUAAAACGAUGUCAACUAGUUGUUGGGGAUUCAUUUCCUUAGUAACGUAGCUAACGCGUGAAGUUGACCGCCUGGGGAGUACGGUCGCAAGAUUAAAACUCAAAUGAAUUGACGGGGUCAUA
rnacentral:rRNA from 1 species